ACAAUAAGAGGCUAAAAACCAGCAUACAGAACGACUCCACCUGUAACUUUUCUGUAGCGAACACUGCAGUCGAUGUGCUCAAACUCUCGAGCGAUGAAGGCAUGCCGAGUGCGUGCAUGAAGCUCCCUUCAUCCCUGCUGCAUGCACCUGUGCACGCUCUUUACUGGUGAAGGCAUGAACUGCUGCCACCUACCAUGCAUCUCACCUACUACAUACCCAGCCCAGCCAUUCCUCCUCGUAUAUAGAAACCUCCUCCCUCGUUCUUACAGCACCAUCGCAAACUUCUUUCAGCUUUCGUUUUACCUAGUGGAUCCAAACCUCUGCUGCGUUGUCGUUUUCCAUCUCCUGCUGCUGCACUCAUGCGCUCGACGGCUUCAAGAUGUCGAUUUCGUGGAGGCGGCGGACGCUGUUCCGGCCCUGGAACCGGUGCCACCACCGGGAGACUCGCCGAACUGGAGCUCCGGAGCACUAAACGCUGCAGAGGAGUAGGAAGCUUUGCUGCACCUCAAUGACUGAUAUCACAGCAAGCAAUGAUGCGCUAAAUCCACCAUGUCGCUGAACAGUGAGCGAAGUCAUAAACUUUUGUGACGAUAAUAUGUGGUAUAUUUAUAUAGGUAUAUCCAUGAGAUUAGGUUUUGGGGUUACUUUUAGUUGGAUCUUACUAGAUUAAAUCACAGCAGGAAUAACUCAUGCCAAUUCUUAACCUUAUCCGUUUACUAAAUAGAAUCUUUGCAAGGAUGGAAAUCAAAACUAAUUUAGUUAUUAUUUGAAGCUCUAAGAAACAUUGAAUACUUUAUGAUGACUCAUUAUGUGAUUAUAAUCUGAAGAAUUAUAGUCAUAUUUCGGGUGAUAUAUAUGAAUGAUAUCAUUUAAAAGAAUAUAUACCGUACACCAAAUUAUACAAUUUCUUCAUCAUCGCGAAUCUUGAUGUCGGCAGACGGAUGUGAUGGUGUUGGAGCUCACCGGGCCACCAUACAAAUGCCCACUAAAGAUGGGACCUACGAAAGCUUGACUUUUCUUUGACCCGAGUCCUGCACGUAACUAGCGGACGCCGGGAACGUGCACUGUCUCUGCUCCCACGUGGAGGCCGCGCGCCGCAGCGAUCCUCCAUGUGCCAGCCUCGAACUUCCGGGUCCCACGGCCACGUAGGACGAACGUGCGAAGGAGAACACACCACCGCGGCGACGUACCCUCCCCCUUACCCUUCUCCUCGAUAGCAAUUGGGGCGGUCGAGCACAGGAAGUGAAACGCCGCUUAUAAAUACCAGCCUCAGUGCUUCUCCUCUUCUCACUCCGAAACCUCCACCACACGCUUCCAUUGUUCUCGUUGAUUUCUUGGCUGCAAUGGCUGUCGUCACCACCGAGAGGACCCUGGUCCCAGCUGGCCGGCUCGUCGCCAUGGUGAAGGACGCAGCCUUACGCAGUAUGGAGCAACGAGAGGAUGGUGGCGACAAUGAUGACGACGACGACGACGACAACGAUGUGGCACCAGCUGCCUGAUGACAUCGAGUAAAGAAAGAGUCCAUAUUAUGUAUGUCGAGAGCUGGUGUAUUCUCUUUGUGGGCUUCACUGGAGUGUGAGGAUAGUGUGGUACGGUCGUGAGAUCCAAUGAGUAUAUCGAUUUGGUUCUUGUGAUAUGAUUGGGCCUAAAAAGAGCAACCUUUGUUCA